UACAGAGGGGGCAAGCGUUGUUCGGAAUUACUGGGCGUAAAGGGCGCGUAGGCGGCCCUCUAAGUCGAACGUGAAAUCCCCGGGCUCAACCCGGGAACUGCGUCCGAGACUGGGGGGCUCGAAUCCGGGAGAGGGAUGUGGAAUUCCAGGUGUAGCGGUGAAAUGCGUAGAUAUCUGGAGGAACACCGGUGGCGAAGGCGGCAUCCUGGACCGGCACUGACGCUGAGGAGCGAAAGCCAGGGGAGCAAACGGGAUUAGAAACCCGUGU
rnacentral:rRNA from 1 species